rnacentral:rRNA from 1 species
CCUACGGGUGGCAGCAGUAGGGAAUAUUGCUCAAUGGGGGAAACCCUGACGCAGCAACGCCGCGUGGAGGAUGAAGGUUUUCGGAUUGUAAACUCCUUUUGUUAGAGAAGAUCAUGCAGGUAUCUAACGAAUAAGCAACGGCCAACUCCGUCCCAGCAGCCGCGGGAAUACGGAGGGUGCAAGCGUUACUCGGAAUGACUGGGCGUAAGGGGCGCGUAGGCGGGAUAGCAAGUCAGUUGUGAAAUCCUAUGGCUUAACCAUAGAACUGCAUUUGAAACUGUUAUUCGAGAGUAUGGGAGAGGUAGGUGGAAUUCUUGGUGUAGGGGUAAAAUCCGUAGAGAUCAAGAGGAAUACUCAUUGCGAAGGCGACCUGCUAGAACAUAACUGACGCUGAUGCGCGAAAGCGUGGGGAGCAAACAGGAUUAGAUACCCGAGUAGUC